UGGGGGAUGGUGUAAGGGUAGCACGUCGGGUUUUGGUCCCGAAAAUUGGGGUUCGAAUCCCUGUCCCCCAGCCA
rnacentral:tRNA from 1 species